rnacentral:rRNA from 1 species
CCUACGGGGGGCAGCAGUCGAGGAUCUUCGGCAAUGGGGGCAACCCUGACCGAGCGAUGCCGCGUGGGCGACGAAGGCCUUCGGGUUGUAAAGCCCUGUCGAGGGGGAGAAAGCCGCAAGGCGGAUCCAUCCCUGGAGGAAGCUCGGGCUAAGUUCGUGCCAGCAGCCGCGGUAAGACGAACCGAGCGAACGUUGUUCGGAAUCACUGGGCUUAAAGGGCGCGUAGGCGGGCUGCCGCGUCCGGGGUGAAAUCCCACGGCUCAACCGUGGAACGG